AGAGUUUGAUCAUGGCUCAGGAUUAACGCUGGCGGUGUGCCUAACACAUGCAAGUCGAGCGCCCCUUCGGGGGAGCGGCGGACGGCUGAGUAACAUGUUAGUACCUGCCCCGAACCCGGGAAUAAGCACUGGAAACGGUGUCUAAUGCCCGAUAGUUCUCUUCGGAGUAAAGAUUUUUCGGUUCGGGAGGGGCUUGCGCCCGAUUAGCUUGUUGGUGAGGUAACGGCUCACCAAGGCUCUGAUCGGUAGGUGGUCUGAGAGGAUGAUCACCCAGACUGGGACUGAGACACGGCCCAGACUCCUACGGGAGGCAGCAGUGAGGAAUCUUGCACAAUGGGGGAAACCCUGAUGCAGCAACACCGCGUGGAGGAAGAAUGCCUUCGGGUUGUAAACUCCUUUUAUACGGGACGAACAUUGACGGUACCGUAUGAAUAAGGACUGGCUAACCACGUGCCAGCAGCCGCGGUAAUACGUGGAGUCCAAGCGUUAUCCGGAUUUACUGGGCGUAAAGCGUCUGUAGGUGUCCUGCUAAGUCUUCGGUGAAAUCUCCGGGCUCAACUCGGAAACUGUCGAGGAAACUGGUGGGAUCGAGUUUGGUAGAGGUAGAUGGAAUUCUUGGUGUAGAGGUAAAAUUCGUUGAUAUCAAGAAGAACACCAGUGGCGAAGGCGAUCUACUGGGCCAAUACUGACACUGAGAGACGAAAGCGUGGGGAGCGAACGGGAUUAGAUACCCCGGUAGUCCACGCCGUAAACGAUGGGCACUAGGCAUCUGGGGCAUAGACCCCCUGGGUGUCGUAGCU
rnacentral:rRNA from 1 species